rnacentral:rRNA from 1 species
GACGAACGCUGGCGGCGUGCUUAACACAUGCAAGUCGAACGGAAAGGCCCUGCUUGCAGGGUACUCGAGUGGCGAACGGGUGAGUAACUCGUGGGUGAUCUGCCCUGCACUUCGGGAUAAGCUUGGGAAACUGGGUCUAAUACCGGAUAGGAGCCAUCUUUAGUGUGGUGGUUGGAAAGUUUUUUCGGUGUAGGAUGAGCUCGCGGCCUAUCAGCUUGUUGGUGGGGUAAUGGCCUACCAAGGCGGCGACGGGUAGCCGGCCUGAGAGGGUGUACGGCCACAUUGGGACUGAGAUACGGCCCAGACUCCUACGGGAGGCAGCAGUGGGGAAUAUUGCACAAUGGGCGCAAGCCUGAUGCAGCGACGCCGCGUGGGGGAUGAAGGCCUUCGGGUUGUAAACUCCUUUCGCUAGGGACGAAGCUUUGUUGUGACGGUACCGAGAUAAGAAGCACCGGCUAACUACGU